GUCCACGCCGUAAACGAUGAGAGCUAGUUGUCUGGCAGCAUGCUGUUAGGUGACGCAGCUAACGCAUUAAGCUCUCCGCCUGGGGAGUACGGCCGCAAGGUUAAAACUCAAAGAAAUUGACGGGGGCCCGCACAAGCGGUGGAGCAUGUGGUUUAAUUCGAAGCAACGCGCAGAACCUUACCUACCCUUGACAUACCAAUCGCGAUUUCCGGAGACGGAUUUCUUCAGUUCGGCUGGAUUGGA
rnacentral:rRNA from 1 species